UACGGAGGGUGCAAGCGUUAUCCGGAUUCACUGGGUUUAAAGGGUGCGUAGGUGGUUUUGUAAGUCAGUGGUGAAAGCCCGGAGCUUAACUCCGGAACUGCCAUUGAUACUGCUUAACUUGAAUCAACUUGAGGUGGAUGGAAUAUUACAUGUAGCGGUGAAAUGCUUAGAUAUGUAAUAGAACACUGAUUGCGAAGGCAGUUCACUAAGGUUGUAUUGACACUGAGGCACGAAAGCGUGGGGAUCAAACAGG
rnacentral:rRNA from 1 species